UUUGAGCAAUCUCCGGGACAGGGUGAAGGACAGGGAAGACUGGCAUGCUGCAGUCCAUGAGCAGCCCCCUGCCAGUUCUGGAAACACCCGACUGGCUAAGCGAGCACCGCAGAGGAGCAGGACCCAAACGGAGGUAGUCUGCGGGUGAGCCCUCCACGAAGGGCGCAGGGGUCCGGGACCCGCCGGCGGAAAGGAGGAGGCGGACCGCAGAGGACUCUUGGAAGAGGCAGAGUGUAUACUGCACGCAAGGGCUAAAGCUAGCUGAUGGCAACACGAGCGCUGUAGAGAACAGACUGCCAGUCCUUGUAGAACUUACAUCCUAUGCAAGAAACAAAGCAGUUACAAAUCUCAGACUGUGAUGCCAAGAAAAGGUGAAGUUGGAAGGAAACUUUGAUGUCAUGGAAAUUCUUCAGUGUGGUGUUUGAAGUAAUCCUUCAGGACUAAAGGUACCAAAGCUGGGCUGUCAUCCCAAUCAGUACUUCCUGCUGGAGCCUGGGAGACAGGAGAAAAUUCCACCCUGGGAGAGCUGGCAGGGGUGCUACUGUUCCUGCUCAAUCCAUUCCACAUGGGCCAACCCAGUUUGUGCUUAGAGGAGGGCUUCAGAUUGAAUUUCUUAGUGAGUCUAACCCAGACCUUUUUUUUUUUUUUUAUGACCGUGAGAAAAGUGGAGGAGACUGAAGUUUUGUUGUUUUUUUUGUUUGUUUUUUUUUUUUAGCUCCUCGCUGACUCCUUUAAAAAAAUGAUCCAUACCCUUGACUGUCAAAGUGACACAUUUAUCUUUCCCUUAGUAUUCUCUGCCUCCUGUCCCAACUUCCACAGCUCUGAUUUAUUUAUUUUUUAAAAUGUAUCUAUUUCUUUGCAUCAGGUUUUAACUGAGGCCUCCCCUCCCCACUUCCACUGCUCCAAUUUUAUUUAUUUAAAAAAAUUAUUAAUCUGUUUAUUCGACUGAAUUGGGUUUUAACUAAGGUAUGUGGAAUCUUUUGUUUCUUUAUUUGUACCAGAUCUUUUUUUUUUUUUAUCUUUUAGUUGCAGUACAUGUGAACUCUUAGUUGUAAGCAUGUAGGAUCUAGUUCCCUGACCAGGGAUUGAACCCGGGUCCCCUGCAUUCGGAGUACAGUGUGGUAGCCACUGGACUACCAGGGAAGUCCCUCCACCGCUCUGAUUGUAGAUGACAACUCUCACAACUGCUUUGAGUCUCCUGAAGCAUAUCCUUGCUGUGAUGGAUACCCUCCUUGGGUGUCAGCCACGUUUCCGAGGGCCAGGAUGUGGUAUGGCUUCCUCCCACCGAGGAUGGGUGUGCAGGGAGCAGACUGGCUGUCUGCUGAGCCAGGAAAGAGAUAUCCAUUUGUCCUGGGGGCAGUCUGAGGCUCACCUUUGGCACGAAUCCCAAAUCUUCAAAUGUUCCACCUCAAUGUUUGGUUGCUACUCUAAAAGAAAUGGCCUGGGUGGUUGAUUCCCUAGUGGUCCAGUGGUUAAGAACCCACCUUGCAAUGCAGGGACUGUGGGUUCGAUCCCUAGUUGGGGAACUAAGAUUCCACAAGGCAUGGCACAACUAAGCCCACGAGCUCCUGAGCCCACAUGAUGCAACUAAGACCUGAUGCAGCCAAAUAAAUAAAUACUUAAAAAAAUCCUGUAAAAGAAAUGGCCUUGCUCUGGUUUCCAUCUAUAUCCUCUAAUCAUGCUUUUCACACAGAGGAUUUAAAAGCGUAAAGAAACCCGUCUACCCACACACACAGGCACGCACACGUGCACACACACACACAGAAACUCUACUUGGCCCCUCCAUCCCUCGAGCCCAUCUUCCUGUCCUUGACCACGACUGCUCCAGCCCUGAUGCCUGUGACAUUGUCCUGGAGCUGAAAUGCCCUCAACCUCUCCUCUCCGGGUUCCAAGGAUGCUGCGGCUACUCCAGCUCAGGACACAGUCCUGAAGCCGAGAUGCCCACACGCCUGCUUGAGCCUCUGUAGGACAUGUCUUCUCUGAAAUGAAGAAAAAUUCACUCCAUGAGAAGAAGAAAAAAAACCCGACUUUUACCCCAUAUUGAUUUCCCUCCAUGGAAAUAAACACGCAGCUGGUACCCAGAGGCUGAGUGUGAGGACUGUGUUGGACACAAGGUCGUUCAGGAAGAAACACAGACCAGCGAGAGCCUGACCAGCAACCUGGACGUUUCUGAGACUCACUUGUACUCCAGAAGUGUCCCAUCCAGCCACCUCCAUUCAUUCUCCUGCUCCAAGUCCGUGAGGCCAAUCCAGUAGUUCUGUUUUGCCACCAUCUGGUUUUUGAUCCAUUGCUGGAAAAUAAAAUCAUAGAUGGUGCGUUACUA